AUCUGAUCUGAGAACAAGCCGUUGCUGAAGUAGCUACCAGAGGCCAGUGUUCAAGCAUCUGGAGUACCACAAAGCUACAACUCUCCAAAAUCAUGGCUUAUAAAAUCAUGGCUUUGUCCAAGCUGAAGCACGGAAAUGGACAAAGUCCAGUAAGUGAAGCACUCCUCAUUGCUGCAAGUACACAUGUGCUGCAGCAUCCCGUGCACAGUGUACAGCAGUCAGAGCACUUCUACAUGGUGGGAUUAGACUGGGAAACACCAGGGGAGCUUCUCUAUUGAACUUGAAAAACAAUAUACAAUUGCAUGUUACAUAUUAUAAAAAAAUAAUAAAAC